rnacentral:rRNA from 1 species
AGCGUACACGGUGGAUGCCCUGGCAGUCAGAGGCGAUGAAGGACGUGCUAAUCUGCGAUAAGCGUCGGUGAGGUGAUAUGAACCGUUAUAACCGGCGAUUUCCGAAUGGGGAAACCCAGUGUGUUUCGACACACUAUCAUUAACUGAAUCCAUAGGUUAAUGAGGCGAACCGGGGGAACUGAAACAUCUAAGUACCCCGAGGAAAAGAAAUCAACCGAGAUUCCCCCAGUAGCGGCGAGCGAACGGGGAGGAGCCCAGAGCCUGAAUCAGUGUGUGUGUUAGUGGAAGCGUCUGGAAAGGCGCGCGAUACAGGGUGACAGCCCCGUACACAAAAAUGCACAUAUUGUGAGCUCGAUGAGUAGGGCGGGACACGUGGUAUCCUGUCUGAAUAUGGGGGGACCAUCCUCCAAGGCUAAAUACUCCUGACUGACCGAUAGUGAACCAGUACCGUGAGGGAAAGGCGAAAAGAACCCCGGCGAGGGGAGUGAAAAAGAACCUGAAACCGUGUACGUACAAGCAGUGGGAGCCUCUUAAUGGGGUGACUGCGUACCUUUUGUAUAAUGGGUCAGCGACUUAUAUUCUGUAGCAAGGUUAACCGAAUAGGGGAGCCGAAGGGAAACCGAGUCUUAACUGGGCGUUAAGUUGCAGGGUAUAGACCCGAAACCCGGUGAUCUAGCCAUGGGCAGGUUGAAGGUUGGGUAACACUAACUGGAGGACCGAACCGACUAAUGUUGAAAAAUUAGCGGAUGACUUGUGGCUGGGGGUGAAAGGCCAAUCAAACCGGGAGAUAGCUGGUUCUCCCCGAAAGCUAUUUAGGUAGCGCCUCGUGAAUUCAUCUCCGGGGGUAGAGCACUGUUUCGGCAAGGGGGUCAUCCCGACUUACCAACCCGAUGCAAACUGCGAAUACCGGAGAAUGUUAUCACGGGAGACACACGGCGGGUGCUAACGUCCGUCGUGAAGAGGGAAACAACCCAGACCGCCAGCUAAGGUCCCAAAGUCAUGGUUAAGUGGGAAACGAUGUGGGAAGGCCCAGACAGCCAGGAUGUUGGCUUAGAAGCAGCCAUCAUUUAAAGAAAGCGUAAUAGCUCACUGGUCGAGUCGGCCUGCGCGGAAGAUGUAACGGGGCUAAACCAUGCACCGAAGCUGCGGCAGCGACACUAUGUGUUGUUGGGUAGGGGAGCGUUCUGUAAGCCUGUGAAGGUGUACUGUGAGGUAUGCUGGAGGUAUCAGAAGUGCGAAUGCUGACAUAAGUAACGAUAAAGCGGGUGAAAAGCCCGCUCGCCGGAAGACCAAGGGUUCCUGUCCAACGUUAAUCGGGGCAGGGUGAGUCGACCCCUAAGGCGAGGCCGAAAGGCGUAGUCGAUGGGAAACAGGUUAAUAUUCCUGUACUUGGUGUUACUGCGAAGGGGGGACGGAGAAGGCUAUGUUGGCCGGGCGACGGUUGUCCCGGUUUAAGCGUGUAGGCUGGUUUUCCAGGCAAAUCCGGAAAACCAAGGCUGAGGCGUGAUGACGAGGCACUACGGUGCUGAAGCAACAAAUGCCCUGCUUCCAGGAAAAGCCUCUAAGCAUCAGGUAACAUCAAAUCGUACCCCAAACCGACACAGGUGGUCAGGUAGAGAAUACCAAGGCGCUUGAGAGAACUCGGGUGAAGGAACUAGGCAAAAUGGUGCCGUAACUUCGGGAGAAGGCACGCUGAUAUGUAGGUGAAGCGACUUGCUCGUGGAGCUGAAAUCAGUCGAAGAUACCAGCUGGCUGCAACUGUUUAUUAAAAACACAGCACUGUGCAAACACGAAAGUGGACGUAUACGGUGUGACGCCUGCCCGGUGCCGGAAGGUUAAUUGAUGGGGUUAGCGGUAACGCGAAGCUCUUGAUCGAAGCCCCGGUAAACGGCGGCCGUAACUAUAACGGUCCUAAGGUAGCGAAAUUCCUUGUCGGGUAAGUUCCGACCUGCACGAAUGGCGUAAUGAUGGCCAGGCUGUCUCCACCCGAGACUCAGUGAAAUUGAACUCGCUGUGAAGAUGCAGUGUACCCGCGGCAAGACGGAAAGACCCCGUGAACCUUUACUAUAGCUUGACACUGAACAUUGAGCCUUGAUGUGUAGGAUAGGUGGGAGGCUUUGAAGUGUGGACGCCAGUCUGCAUGGAGCCGACCUUGAAAUACCACCCUUUAAUGUUUGAUGUUCUAACGUGGGCCCCUUACCGGGGUUGCGGACAGUGUCUGGUGGGUAGUUUGACUGGGGCGGUCUCCUCCUAAAGAGUAACGGAGGAGCACGAAGGUUGGCUAAUCCUGGUCGGACAUCAGGAGGUUAGUGCAAUGGCAUAAGCCAGCUUGACUGCGAGCGUGACGGCGCGAGCAGGUGCGAAAGCAGGUCAUAGUGAUCCGGUGGUUCUGAAUGGAAGGGCCAUCGCUCAACGGAUAAAAGGUACUCCGGGGAUAACAGGCUGAUACCGCCCAAGAGUUCAUAUCGACGGCGGUGUUUGGCACCUCGAUGUCGGCUCAUCACAUCCUGGGGCUGAAGUAGGUCCCAAGGGUAUGGCUGUUCGCCAUUUAAAGUGGUACGCGAGCUGGGUUUAGAACGUCGUGAGACAGUUCGGUCCCUAUCUGCCGUGGGCGCUGGAGAACUGAGGGGGGCUGCUCCUAGUACGAGAGGACCGGAGUGGACGCAUCACUGGUGUUCGGGUUGUCAUGCCAAUGGCACUGCCCGGUAGCUAAAUGCGGAAGAGAUAAGUGCUGAAAGCAUCUAAGCACGAAACUUGCCCCGAGAUGAGUUCU